rnacentral:rRNA from 1 species
GGGUGAGUAACACGUGGGUAACCUGCCUGUAAGACUGGGAUAACUCCGGGAAACCGGGGCUAAUACCGGAUGGUUGUUUGAACCGCAUGGUUCAGACAUAAAAGGUGGCUUCGGCUACCACUUACAGAUGGACCCGCGGCGCAUUAGCUAGUUGGUGAGGUAACGGCUCACCAAGGCAACGAUGCGUAGCCGACCUGAGAGGGUGAUCGGCCACACUGGGACUGAGACACGGCCCAGACUCCUACGGGAGGCAGCAGUAGGGAAUCUUCCGCAAUGGACGAAAGUCUGACGGAGCAACGCCGCGUGAGUGAUGAAGGUUUUCGGAUCGUAAAGCUCUGUUGUUA